CCUACGGGUGGCAGCAGUGAGGAAUAUUGGUCAAUGGGCUUACGCCUGAACCAGCCAAGUCGCGUGAGGGAAGACUGCCCUAUGGGUUGUAAACCUCUUUUGUCAGGGAGCAAUUGGCGCUACGUGUAGCGUUAUCGAGAGUACCUGAAGAAAAAGCAUCGGCUAACUCCGUGCCAGCAGCCGCGGUAAUACGGAGGAUGCGAGCGUUAUCCGGAUUUAGUGGGUUUAAAGGGUGCGCAGGCGGGAGAUCAAGUCAGCGGUAAAAUGUCGGGGCUCAACCCCGGCCGGCCGAUGAAACUGGUUUUGUAGAGUUGGAGAGAGGUAUGCGGAAGUCGUGGUGUAGCGGUGAAAUGCAUAGAUAUCACGAAGAACGCCGAUGGCGAAGGCAGCAUACCGGCUCCAUACUGACGCUGAGGCACGAAAGCGUGGGGAUCGAACAGGAUUAGAUACCCGAGUAGUC
rnacentral:rRNA from 1 species